GACGAACGCUGGCGGCGUGCCUAAUACAUGCAAGUCGAACGCACACUCGUUGAGAUUGAAGGAGUUUGCUCCUGAUUGAUAAACAUUUGAGUGUGUGUCGGACGGGUGAGUAACACGUGGGUAAUCUGCCCUAAAGUGGUGGUUAACAAUUGGAAACAGAUGCUAAUACCGCAUAAAACCUAACAUCGCAUGGUGGAGGGUUGAAAGAUGGUUUCGGCUAUCACUUUAGGAUGGACCCGCGGUGCGUUAGUUAGGUGGUGAGGUAAAGGCUGACCAAGGACGUGAUGGCUAGCCGACCUGAGCGGGUAAUCGGCCACACUGGGACUGAGACACGGCCCAGACUCCUGCGGUAGGCCGCAGUCGGGAAUCUUCCACAAUGGACGAAAGUCUGAUGGAGCACGGCCGCGUGAGUGAAGAAGGUUUUCGGAUCGUAAAACUCUGUUGUUGGAGAAGAAUGUAUCUGAUAGUAACUGAUCAGGUAGUGACGGUAUCCAACCAGAAAGCCCCGGCUAACUACGUG
rnacentral:rRNA from 1 species